AGCUUCAUGAAGUAUGAAAUUCUUACAGCAAGCCCACUCCUGAGCAGAAGGAGCAAUCAGGACAAGGUGAGGACAGCACAGCUCCGAGGCUUUAGGGGUUCCACAAGCCCACUGCAUGAAAACUGACAGAACUAAGAUCUGCUUCAGGAUUGCCUGACAUCAUAGGUAUUUCACAUUUGUGCAUUAAGAAAAUUAAAAA